rfam:Bacillus pseudalcaliphilus strain DSM 8725 super11, whole genome shotgun sequence.
UGGAGAUAUCUCCUUUCCAAUAUCAAUGGGGGUACUCGGUUAUGCUGUGGGUGAAAACCUUAGACGCUAGUCGUCGAAAGUGUGAUGUGAGGAAGGGUUAAAUGCCCU